UACGUAGGGAGCAAGCGUUGUCCGGAAUCAUUGGGCGUAAGCGCGCGUAGGUGGCUUCAUAAGUCCGUUGUGAAAGUCAAAGGCUCAACCUUUGAAAGCCGAUGGAUACUGUGAAGCUAGAGUACGGAAGAGGCGAGUGGAAUUCCUGGUGUAGCGGUGGAAUGCGCAGAUAUCAGGAGGAACACCGAUGGCGAAGGCAGAUCUCUGGGCCGUAACUGACGCUGAGGAGCGAAAGCAUGGGGAGCGAACAGG
rnacentral:rRNA from 1 species